rnacentral:lncRNA from 8 species
AUGAAGUCACAACCUAAGACUGCUAUUGACCUCUCAUUUAUCCACCAGAGCGUGAAAUGGGAGGAUUCCCCGGAUGAUCAAAAUAAAGUUGUGGAGAAUAUGAAGGAUGAAACAGAGACACAUGAGACCAACAAGAACAGGACAGGAGGCAAGAGUCUUCUCAGACACCCGGGUGUGGUUUCCGGGAAAGGGGAUCUAUCAUUGAGCAGCUGGAGAAGGAGGCUCAGAGGACUCUAAUGCCUUCU